GGAUUAGGGAGACACAAGGUGUCCUAUAGAGCUAGCUUGUUGGUGGAGCUGAUCUUGAUGGGACCUGUUGGCAGUUAGGUUUAGGUGCCAGAUGGA